UUGAGCGGUAGAGGCGCGAUAUCUGAUGAGUAGCGUUUAUUGGGGUGAUACCAAUGAAUAGACGUGAAAGCUCUGUCGCCGAAGUAAACCAGGCAUAUCAACGCCGGCUUGCUGGGGUUGCUUUCGAAUAGGAGCAACACUGCCAUAGUCUAUACUCACUAAAGUGGUGAGGUAGGUAUUACUAUGGAGCGCUACUGUAGGG
rnacentral:ncRNA from 2 species